GUCUCCGUAGUUAAAUGGAUAUAACUUUCCCCUCCUAAGGGCAGAUUAGUGGUUCGAUUCCACUCGGGGAAGCCA
rnacentral:tRNA from 1 species